rnacentral:rRNA from 1 species
GACGUAGGGCGCGAGCGUUGUCCGGAUUUAUUGGGCGUAAAGAGCUCGUAGGCGGCUUGUUGCGUCAGCUGUGAAAACCCGCAGCUCAACUGUGGGCUUGCAGCUGAUACGGGCAGGCUUGAGUUCGGUAGGGGAGACUGGAAUUCCCGGUGUAGCGGUGAAAUGCGCAGAUAUCGGGAAGAACACCCGUGGCGAAGGCGGCUCUCUGGGACGGUACUGACGCUGAGACGCGAAAGCGUGGGGAGCAAACAGG